GUCCUGUUGCCAUCAGGGAAAGAUCUGCAGAUUACAGCAGGAGUCAAUCACAGCUUUCCCAAAAGCUCUCACCUGACUCGAGUCCAAAAAGCAGAUGCUGCCCUCUUUUACACUGGUGCAAUUCUGGAAUAACUCCGCUGACGUCAGUGAAGUGACUCCAAAUUUAUCCACGGCAAAAGCAGAAUUGGACCGCGGUCUCUUUGUCUGCCUCUCUGCUCCAGAGCUCUGGGGGAGUUGUGCCACUGCCACACCAUAAGAUCCAUCUUAAAAGGACCUAAAAUUAGAUGCCAUGAAAAUGGCUCUGGGAAUCCCCAAGGUCCCGGCUACGGUAAGAAUCAGACUUUGUGCCUCUGUCCUUGAAGAGCACGGCCCUGCAGUGCAUCCUAACACAUUUUGCAACAUUCUAAUAAAUAUAUUUCAUCUCAUGCAAGAAGAAAGGUGUGUAAUUCCCAGGAGCUUCAAGGAAAAAUUGGCCCUAAAGCAGAUCCCAGGAGGCAUUAAGGCUGGAUUCUGUAUGCUGCAAGGCUGUCAUGUCAGGAUGCUGCAAAAGAGGUUGUUACAUCUUCUUCCUGAAAAGUUGGUGGAGUUUCUCUCUAUGCAGAGGGUACAACCUUUAUGGUCAGGAAACUGUUUUCCUUGCUCUGUGGUUUUCUUGCUGCUGCUGCUGCUUUUAAAGGGGUCAGCACUCUUAGCUCCAGGAAACUGAAACUAAAUGUGAGCAGGGACUGGAGGAAGGAAGCAGGGAGAAUCCCCUACAAGAUUCCAAAAACUAAAUAAAGCAGGAUUCAACUGCCA
rnacentral:lncRNA from 1 species